AGCUUUGCGCAGUGGCAGUAUCGUAGCCAAUGAGGUUUAGCCGAGGCGCGAUUAUUGCUAAUUGAAAACUUUUCCCAAGAACCUACUAUAUCCCCAAAGAAAUGUUCAUAGAGUAGGAGAAAGAAAAAGAAUAUA